AUUGCAAGAACAUUUGCUUUAAAACUGCUAGGUGUUAUUUUCACCCCAUGACAAAAUGUGUAUAAUUUCAGGAAAUAAACCUGUAAAAUUCUCUCCACCAGCAGGAGAGUUGUGAACAGUUUGUCAUGAACAGUGCUUGUGCCCAUAGAAAUAGAUGUGGUGCGCGCGGGAUGUUCCCCAAUGCUGGAAGGAGGGCCCUGAGGGAAAACGUUUGGGAACCCCUGUGUUAGAGCACCCGAGUGGUCAGCGGUCUAAGGCACUGCAUCUCAGUGCUGGAGGUGUCACUACAGACACCCUGGGCCGAAUCCAGGCUGUAUCACAACCGGCCAUGAUUGGGACUCCUAUAGGGCGGCACACAAUUGGCCCAGCGUCGUCCGGGUUUGGCCCGUGUAGGACGUCAUUGUAAAUAAGAAUUUGAUCUUAACUGAAGUUGUGGAAAUAUUAAGUCAAAUAUUUGCACCGAUACCGGAACUUGGAACUUGUAAAAGUUUAGACUUUAUUACAGAGUAACACAAAGUAACAGAGCCGAGCAAUUCCAUGGAACGACUGACUUCUCCUGCCCUGGACCUCUGUUUUUAUAGCCUUCCUUCUUUGCAUAGCAUAAAGAGCUACCUCCUUCUAUAUGGAUAAUAACUCCCCUUGCCUCUCCGCCACUAUUAUCUUCCAGUCUCAGUUCUUGUUAACGCACACAUCUGCUACAGUCUAGAUUAUAAUGGUGGCUGUGAUACAAAAAAGAAUACAUUUAUUACAUACAUGUGUUUCCAGUACAACCAUUGUUUGUUUUGUUGCAUUUUCUGCUGACAUUCUGUUUCUAUAUGUCUGGUUUUUAGCUUCAUGUACCUCUUCCUGCUGACAUGCAAUGUCUACAUGUCUGGUGAGGGUUUCCAUAUGUAUUUUAUGCUGACAUUAUGUUAUCACUGUAGUCUAAUUUUCAAUUCUAUGUUUAUCUAGCUUUGUCCAUCGUUAUAUAUUUUCACCUGUCCUAAGGCUUCAAAGUGGUCAGUCUAAAAACUAGAACUACAAUCAUUGACACAUGGGUUUUUGCUCCUACACUGACUUGCCUAGUUAAAUAAAGGUUAAAUAAAAUAAAUAUAUAUAAAUAAAAUAGAGCAUUUACAGCAGUUUCCACUAGCACAGCCACAAAGUCAAAAUUGGCAGUAUCGUAAACAUUUAUGAAAACAAAAUAAUCCUUUUUAGUCUUAAUUAAAGGUUAGGCAUGAUUUUGGCAGUGUGGUUAAGGUUAGGUUUAAAAUCACAUUUUAAUUAGAUAAAUUGUAGAAAUAGGUGGGGUUCAGGACUUUAUGGCUGUGGUAACGAGACCAUGAGCGCCAUUGAGGCCAUCUCCAUUUUGAAGUAGACCAUUUUCUUCCUCUACUACUUCUUUGAGUUGGAAAACAUACAUACUAUAAAGCCAAGGUUGACGAUUUACUUCCACUUUCAUUUACGGAAUGUUUCCUCACAAGGUAUAAUUCAUUGGCUGAUCCCUCCCGAUGACCUGGAUGGAAUUAGGUGAUCAUCCCUUAAUCCAUAGGGUUGAAUCAUGUCUUACAAGUGGGCUACACUUUAAGUGUGGUAAUUUUAGCAUAUGGAAGUACACUUUGUUGUCAUUUUAUAGUACUAUUACAAAGUACGAAAAUAUAUGCACUCACAAAGUCGCUCUGGAUACUAGUUAUUUUUUUAUUUUGUAGGGGUAAUUCAACGAGAAUUACCCAGGCCACCUUGACCUAUGGGAUGGUGGUUUAUUUUUGUAGAGGUAAUUCUGUGAAAAUGACCCAGUGAAUGAGCUGUUUGUGAAAAUGACCCAGUGAAUGAGCUGUUUGUGAAAAUGACCCAGUGAAUGAGCUGUUUGUGAAAAUGACCCAGUGAAUGAGCUGUUUAUGAAUAGUGCGUUGUAUGUUUCAUUGUUUGUUUGUCUGUGGAUUAUGGUGGGGUUUAUUGGGUAAUGGCCCAAUGGUGGAAUAAAAAGUUAGGAGUAGGACAGAAGUUAUUUGAAUAAAAGGUUGAACAUAUUUGUUAGUGACAUUUUUCUACAAUAGGAAAUGUACAACCCUUAGUAUACCAGUAAAAUUAUUACAAGGAAGUUGUGUUCUGUAGAGAUUUUCAUCGAAAAUUACUUUGUGACGCUAUCACCAGGGGGCACUGGUGUAUAACAUAUUACUGUUACUCUGCACCCUUAAGAUAUAAUAUUCAUGCGGUUGUAUAUCAUGCGGUUGUCUCUGUGAGGCCCGUGUGUGAAAUAUAUUUGCGUUUAGUAGAACCAUUUACUAUAGCCUGGAUUAAGUGAGCGUAGAAAUAGGAUUACAGUAUCAUCCACUGUUGUUUAACACACUAAAAGGAGAUAGAUAAUAAUUUAUAUAGGCAUACUGCUACAUAUUACGCCCACUUUAGGAUAACCCUAUAGGAAUUAAACAAUACAUUACACGCAGACUAGCUAAAUAAAAAGCCGGAGCACCAUGGCACAGUGGAACCAGAAUGAGGAGAUAGGAGCAAUGAAGCCUGUACAAGACUAGGUUGGAUUUAGUCAAGGAGAUAAUUCAGACAAGAAAAAUGGACAAAAAGAAAGUGGAUGAAGAAGAGUACCCUCGUAUCAGAAACUGUGAUAGGAAUGAUGAUGCUGAAAGGACAGAUCUUUCUGAACAAGGCUACCGCGACCAAACUAAAGCUGGAGAGAACAAUAGAGUGCGGGAGGAAAGAAAUGAGUCAGGACAGAGGCAGAACAGGAAUACUCCCUACCGCCGUAUGAGACUUAACCCAGAGGAGAGGGUAGAUACACAGAUCUACCCUCUCACACCACUGACAGAAGAAAAUGGAGAAGUAACCACAACUGUCCUCACGGGGACUCUGAUGAAGGAGGUGAAUGACACAACAGCAGCAACGAGCGGCAUGAGAACAAUAGAAUUGGAUGGGGGAAAAGGAGGCACAGUUCCUGGAGGGAGUAUCCCUCGACACCCCAACUCACUCCACAAAAAAAAAACAUACUGGCAGACCCUAGACAUAUGGCCGUCUGUAGAAAACAAACUAACAAUUAAAGAAGUAAAAGAACAGUGUUACCAUCCAUGGGUGACCUAUUCAGAGACCAGAGAGAAAUGGAAGAAAUGAAGAGAGAAGAAGGAAGACUGGAAAACGAUAAGUUGUAUACACUGUGAAAAGAGAAGAGAAAGUUGAAAGAAGAUCUGCAGGUGCUAAUUGCUGAUAAGAUUAAAGAGACAAUGGAAACAGAUGAUGUGGACAAAAGUAAAAAGCUAAAAGAGGAGGUCAGACAAGCCACGGAUAUGGUAAGACAAUUCCAGCGGGAGAUAGAAGAGUGUGAAAGGAGGACACGACACUGCACUGAAGAAGGCCCAGCUUGCACAGAUCGAGACAGGAAGUGGUGAUUUUACUCACAAUAUGAUGGCGGCUCAAGUUGUUUCGACAGGCUCACCACAACCACAGCCUGCAGCUCCCCCACAGUCACAUCAGUCACACCCGUGAACCCAGUGCCUGCAGGGUAUGUGCUUUUCACCACUCAGCAUUAUGGUGACCCACAAACAUGGACUGGAAGAGGAGGUGGGCCCGCCAAAGCCCCUUGUGACUGGAACAACACUCAAUGCUGGACCUGUGGGCAGUUGGGGCAUGUGAGUUUGCAGUGUGGGGUAAAUGGAAGAGGAAGAGGUGACUAGAACAAUGCUGGACCUGUGGGCAGUUGGGGCAUGUGAGUUUGCAGUGUGGGGUAAAUGAAAGAGGAAGAGGUGACUAGAACAAUGCUGGACCUGUGGGCAGUUGGGGCAUGUGAGUUUGCAGUGUGGGGUAAAUGAAAGAGGAAGAGGUGACUAGAACAAUGCUGGACCUGUGGGCAGUUGGGGCAUGUGAGUUUGCAGUGUGGGGGAAAUGAAAGAGGAAGAGGUGACUAGAACAAUGCUGGACCUGUGGGCAGUUGGGGCAUGUGAGUUUGCAGUGUGGGGGAAAUGAAAGAGGAAGAGGUGACUAGAACAAUGCUGGACCUGUGGGCAGUUGGGGCAUGUGAGUUUGCAGUGUGGGGGAAAUGAAAGAGGAAGAGGUGACUAGAACAAUGCUGGACCUGUGGGCAGUUGGGGCAUGUGAGUUUGCAGUGUGGGGGAAAUGAAAGAGGAAGAGGUUGCAACAGGGGCAGAGGAAACAUGGGCCUUGCAGAGGAAGAGAAAAAUAGGGCAACAUGGCAACAAUAUGCUCCUCAGCCACAGUACCACUCGCCCGGAGCUGAAAAUGCUCCCCAGGGGCCACCUAUGCCCUAUGGACAAGGUGGACAAGUUAAUGACAGAGGACAGCCAUGGCCAAUGGGAAAUCAGAACACCAACAGUUCUUAUUUCCUUCCUUGCACAAAUUUGAAUCAGCAUGUAGAACAGUUCAUUUAUCGUUGCGAAACAUAUUUAUUAUUUAUUAUAUAAUAUAGACAAGGGAACUCCACUGCAACCAGGGAAGUUCCCCACUCCAAAAUGAUCUUUUAUCCACCUUGCUAUGGAUUUCAUAGACAUGGUAGAGCAAAAAGAAAGAAAGAGAUGCUGCCUGGUGAUAAUUGACAGGUUUAACAGGUGGGUGGAAGCAUUUCCCACCACCAACUGCGAUGCACGAACAGUUGCAAAAUUGCUAGUCAGGGAAAUUAUACUCAGGUUUGAAGUGCCUGAGGUUUUGUCUGCAGACAAUGGGACCCAUCUCAUAGGAGAUGUGGUUGCCCAAAUGGCCAAAAUGAUGGGUGUUGACCAGAAGUUUGUCUCCAUCUAUCACCCGCGGAGUAACGGGAGUUACUGAGAGGGCUAAUCAGACCCUGAAAGGCUCCCUUGCCAAACUGCCAUUCCACAGGAAUGACAUGGGUAGAGGGAUUGCCCCUUGUCCUCAUGAAAAUGCGCACCAGCCUUAACAAUGGUAUUGGGUGUACACCUUCCGAGAUGUUAACAAGACAACCAAUGAACACCCCAGGAGUGAGACCUAUGACUGUCCGACAGACAUAACAGAGGCACAGUGUGAUCACAUUGAGUACAUGAAAGAACUAACUUCUAUUGUCAGUUUUCUCCACUCUCACACUAGGAAAGCAGCAGAACCAGUCCCAGGUGAGGAUCCAGAUGCUCUGACCAUCUGCAUGGAAGUCUGGGUGAAACUAUUAGUCCAUAAAAGAAAAUGGAACCAGCCAAGAUGGAUGGGACCCUUCCAGGUAACCAUGGCAACACCGAUUGCAAUCCAGGUAGCGGAGAGGUCCGGCUGGCAUCAUCUCUCCCACUGCAAGACUCUCCCAGAGUGGAAGCCAUGGAUGAGUGACUGGAGGGAGAGCAGGGCCCCGAGAACAUCUGAAGGAGGAAGAAGGUUUCGAGCCAAAGGACAGAAGCAGAGGGCCCAGACCAAACGGCCGGAAAGAAAGAUGAAGAAGAAGGCUGUAGCCAACCAGCAGAGGAAGGAGACCAUUUCACACUCAGGUUGUCAACAAUCUGCUCGUCCAGCCACCAGUGCCGCUUCCUCAGGAGGCGGAGCCGGCGGAGCAUCCAGUCCUUAGUGGUUUCCGUGGCGAUGGGCUUGCAGCAGCAGUUUUUUCCCGGCUUUGCCCCAUCUGCCUGUCCCGACCCUGAGCCUGCCUGCCCCGACCCUGAGCCUGCCUGCCGUCCUGUACCUUUGUCCCGCUACUCUGGUUUAUCGACUUCUGCCUGCCCUGACUGUGAGCCUGCCUGCAGUCCCGUACCUUUGCCCCACAACUCUGGAUGACCAAGCUCUACCUGACCUGAUGUAACUCUGAGCCUGCCUGCCAUCCUGUACCUUUGCCCCUGUUCUUGUAAUAAACAUUGUAACUUCGACAGUCUGCAUCUGGGUCUUACCUUAAAACAUGAGAAAUGGAGCAUACAUCUACAUAGAGAGAUGGGACAUAAAUAUAAAUCCAGAAAUGGGACAGAACGUGUCUCCUUCCUGAGCGGUAUGACAGCUGCGUGGUCCCAUGGUGUU